UACGGAGGGGGCUAGCGUUGUUCGGAAUUACUGGGCGUAAAGCGCACGUAGGCGGCUUUGCAAGUCAGAGGUGAAAGCCCGGGGCUCAACCCCGGAAUAGCCUUUGAGACUGCAUCGCUAGAAUUGUGGAGAGGUAAGUGGAAUUCCGAGUGUAGAGGUGAAAUUCGUAGAUAUUCGGAAGAACACCAGUGGCGAAGGCGACUUACUGGACACAUAUUGACGCUGAGGUGCGAAAGCGUGGGGAGCGAACAGG
rnacentral:rRNA from 1 species